rnacentral:piRNA from 1 species
UGCUGUUUGCUGUAGGAUCACAACCUGUGC